CUGGCCCUGAUGUUUCUUCACCUGUUGUUGUGGGCUGUGAUGUUGAAGUAGAGGUUUCAACAAUUACAGUGGUGGAAGUGGUUGUUGGGCCCGUGGGGACUUCUUUAGGUGGCUUUGUGGCUGUAGAUGAAAUUGUCUCUGUUGUGGUUUCUUCAACUGUUGUCGUUCCACCUGUGGUAGGUGUCGUUGUUGUUAAAGUAGUGGGAUUGGAUGUAAUGACAACUGGCCCUGAUGUUUCUUCACCUGUUGCUGUGGGCUGUGAUGUUGAAGUAGAGGUUUCAACAAUUCCAGUGGUGGAAGUGGUUGUUGGGCCCGUGGGGACUUCUUUAGGUGGCUUUGUGGCUGUAGAUGAAAUUGUCUCUGUUGUGGUUUCUUCAACUGUUGUCGUUCCACCUGUGGUAGGUGUCGUUGUUGUUAAAGUAGUGGGAUUGGAUGUAAUGACAACUGGCCCUGAUGUUUCUUCACCUGUUGCUGUGGGCUGUGAUGUUGAAGUAGAGGUUUCAACAAUUACAGUGGUGGAAGUUGUUGUUGGGCCCGUGGGGACUUCUUUAGGUGGCUUUGUGGCUGUAGAUGAAAUUGUCUCUGUUGUGGUUUCUUCAACUGUUGUCGUUACACCUGUGGUAGGUGUAGUUACCUCUGUUGUUGUAGUGGGUGCCAUUGUAGUUGUUGUUAAAGUAGUGGGAUUAGAAGUUAUGACAACUGGCCCUGAUGUUUCUUCACCUGUUUCUGUGGGCUGUGAUGUUGAAGUAGAGGUUUCAACAAUUACAGUGGUGGAAGUGGUUGUUGGGCUCGUGGGGACUUCUUUAGGUGGCUUUGUGGAUGUAGAUGAAAUUGACUCAGAUGUGGUUUCUUCAAUUCUUGUAGUUCCACCCGUGGUAGGUGUCGUUGUUGUGGGUGCAAUUGUUGUUGUUGUUAAAGUAGUGGGAUUGGAAGUUAUGACAACUGGCCCUGAUGUUUCUUCACCUGUUGUUGUGGGCUGUGAUGUUGAAGUAGAGGUUUCAACAAUUACAGUGGUGGAAGUUGUUGUUGGGCCCGUGGGGACUUCUUUAGGUGGCUUUGUGGAUGUAGAUGAAAUUGACUCAGAUGUGGUUUCUUCAAUUCUUGUAGUUCCACCCGUGGUAGGUGUCGUUGUUGUGGGUGCAAUUGUUGUUGUUGUUAAAGUAGUUGGAUUGGAAGUUAUGACAACUGGCCCUGUUGUUUCUUCACCUGUUGUUGUGGGCUGUGAUGUUGAAGUAGAGGUUUCAGCAAUUACAGUGGUGGAAGUGGUUGUUGGGCCGGAGGUGACUUCUUUAGGUGGUUUUGUAGAUGGACUUGUCUCAUUUGUGGUUUCUUCAACUGUUGUCGUUCCACCCGUGGUAGGUGUCGUUGUUGUGGGUGCAAUUGUUGUUGUUGUUAAAGUAGUUGGAUUGGAAGUUAUGACAACUGGCCCUGUUGUUUCUUCACCUGUUGUUGUGGGCAUCGAUGUUGAAGUAGAGGUUUCAGCAAUAACAGUGGUGGAAGUGGUUGUUGGGCCCGUGGGGACUUCUUUAGGUGGCUUUGUGGAUGUAGAUGAAAUUGACUCAGAUGUGGUUUCUUCAAUUCUUGUAGUUCCACCCGUGGUAGGUGUCGUUGUUGUGGGUGCAAUUGUUGUUGUUGUUAAAGUAGUGGGAUUGGAAGUUAUGACAACUGGCCCUGAUGUUUCUUCACCUGUUGUUGUGGGCUGUGAUGUUGAAGUAGAGGUUUCAGCAAUUACAGUGGUGGAAGUGGUUGUUGGGCUCGUGGGGACUUCUUUAGGUGGCUUUGUGGAUGUAGAUGAAAUUGACUCAGAUGUGGUUUCUUCAAUUCUUGUAGUUCCACCCGUGGUAGGUGUCGUUGUUGUGGGUGCAAUUGUUGUUGUUGUUAAAGUAGUGGGAUUGGAAGUUAUGACAACUGGCCCUGAUGUUUCUUCACCUGUUGCUGUGGGCUGUGAUGUUGAAGUAGAGGUUUCAACAAUUACAGUGGUGGAAGUUGUUGUUGGGCCCGUGGGGACUUCUUUAGGUGGCUUUGUGGAUGUAGAUGAAAUUGUCUCUGUUGUGGUUUCUUCAACUGUUGUCGUUCCACCUGUGGUAGGUGUCGUUGUUGUUAAAGUAGUGGGAUUGGAUGUAAUGACAACUGGCCCUGAUGUUUCUUCACCUGUUGCUGUGGGCUGUGAUGUUGAAGUAGAGGUUUCAACAAUUACAGUGGUGGAAGUGGUUGUUGGGCCCGUGGGGACUUCUUUAGGUGGCUUUGUGGCUGUAGAUGAAAUUGUCUCUGUUGUGGUUUCUUCAACUGUUGUCGUUCCACCUGUGGUAGGUGUCGUUGUUGUUAAAGUAGUGGGAUUGGAUGUAAUGACAACUGGCCCUGAUGUUUCUUCACC